rnacentral:lncRNA from 1 species
ACACUGCAGUCACGAGUCUGGUGUUUUCUGCCCUUCUCACCUUUUCACUGCAGAGCAUAGAGGGGUAGUGGGAUGCCUCUGAGUGCCAUCCUGCUGUAGUGUCUAUCACAGCCACGCUGAAGGGCAUUUCCUGGUGUGCUGAAUCUCAAAUGUUGCCCUGGACAAUGCGACUAAUGCUUUGGCCUUUUGGCCAGCAGUCAUCCUAAUUGAUUCCUGCUAGCCUGUUCCUGUUGUCCUUGUUUCUUGAGGUGUUUUUACAGGAGAACAUGGUGACCCAGAGGGGGGAUUGAAACAAGCUGUAUCCCUUAUAAACCUGCUCUGUCCCUUUCCUCACAGUCAAUGACUCUUGGCUGACAGGGCCAAGCUGUAGUCUCUGACUGUUUUGUUCUGUUUGACUUGAGGUGGAAGUGUUGACAUCUCACCAGCCAGGCUGCGAAGGCUUCCAACAAAUGAGUGGAGAUGAAGAGUCCCAAGGUGGAUGUGAGGCACAGGAACGGCCAAAAUCAGAGAAGAUCUACACAGGCUCUGUCACUGAACCUGCUGCAGGAGCCUCCUGCAGCCUCUGUAAAGAGGCAUUUGUUCCCCAACCUGAGAAGCGGAGCCCAGGCAGAUUGUUCAUGUCCAGCACUGACACAGCUGCUGCUCAGCAACACAAGAGCAAGGAUGACUCCCUGGAGCUUCUGAGGAAAAUGGUGAACAUGGAAAAUCCCAUGACGAAGUAUACUGAACUGGAAAAUAUUGGCAGUGGGUGAGUCCAACCCCAGUUACUUCUCCAAAACCACGGGCCAGGUGUUUUUCUAGUGGAAUGUCUAUAAAGUGUGAAGUCAGACAAGCUGCAAACAUGUUCAGACACUGGGGAUAGAUUGUCCCAUCUCUCAGUGCUGGCUCAAAUUGGCAAGUGUGGUCGGAAGGCAUUGUCAAAGACAUCUCCAUGCUGCCAGCCAAGGUCUUGCCUGCGGCAGGAGAAGGACGUGGAAGAAGACAGCCUUGUCUCUCAACUGUGGGACAGCUCUGUGUUAAUUUCUUGAGCGUUUUUGCGUAUCUCCAAAUCAUACAUCCAUACUAAUAAAAGGAGAAGAAGCUACCCCCA